AUGGAUGUUAAAACUAUGAAGGAGAGAAUAUAUCACCUGAAACAGGGCUUUCUCAGUCAGAUUAUUUUACCUAAUCAUAUUUCAGUAACUCAGAUAUUGUGGCAGUAUCACAGCUCACCUUUAUAUGUAAUAUUUUACUGCUGUAAGAAGAUUUCAUUGCAAAGCUUACUUGAAAGGAAUAAUAGGAAAAAAAAAGAAAAAGAAAAAGGAAUUGUGAUUCAAAGAAUCUAUUCAGCUGAUACAGCUUUUGUAGGAAAAACUGCAGGGUGCAAAAUUCACUCCUGGAAGAACUUCAGGGAAGUUUCCUCCAGUUUGUUGCGAAGGAUUUUACUCCCGAAUUCCUCAGAAACGGACACAUCCUUUCCAGGAGCUUCGUGCAGCGUAAGGAGCUGCUGGAUGUUCUCCGCGCCCAAGCCGGCCCAGCCGACCCUUCCGGCCGAGGAAGCAGCGGGGCCGCCGCAGCGCGGAGCCGCUCCCGCCCGGCCCGGCCCCACCGCACCCACCGCCGGGAGGGCUGCGCGCAGCGCCCCUGGCCGAGCGCCCGGCCCCGCAGCAGCGGGCGGGAGGGGCCGGCGCGGGGUCUCGAGCCAUGUGGUCUGCGGGCCACAACAGCCGCAACUGCCGAGGGAAGACGGUGACCGCUCAGGGAAGGACGGAUCCCGACUGAUUCACAUCCAGACCACCAGAGACUAAAGGAUUCACUGAGAAGUUCACAG
rnacentral:lncRNA from 1 species